GUGCUUGCUUCAGCAGUAUAUAUACUAAAAUUGGAACAAUACAGAGAAUGUUAGCAUGGCCCCUGCACAAAAAAAAAAAAAAAAGAAUGAAAAAAGAAAAUU